rnacentral:lncRNA from 1 species
GGGGCCGCAUUUCCCCGAGCAGGGCCGCGCACAAAGGCCCUAGGCCCGGGCCGCACUCACCGAAGUCCAGGAACUGCUUCAUAGAGAGCGGGGACGGCGAGAAGCGCGCGUAGAAGUCCACCUGGCCCGGAACGCCGCUUUCGGGCGCCGGCCCGGAGGCCGAGUCCGAGGUGAAGCUGCGGCUGGCGCCGGGGCUGGCCGCGCGCAGCCCGGAGCCCGGGCCGGCCGAGGCGGCUCCGCGAAGCAGCCGCGCCAGCCUCAUGCCGAGCCCCGCCGGAGGAGCCGGAGCUGGGGUAGCCAGGUCGCCGCUCAGCGCCUCGGCCGGGCGGUACGUGAGGGACGUGGCGACCCUCGGGGGCGGGGAGCGGCUGUCACCGCCGCGGCCACCGCCCCCGUCGCCGGAGCCCGGCCCCCUGCGCCGCGGGGCGGGACCCAGAGAGGGAGGCGGGGAGAGAGGCGGGAGCGGGAGUGGGGUCCGCCCCCGUGCUAAAGUCCAGCCUCCGUGCGCCGGGGCGGUGCCGGCGAGCGGUGGGGCGGGGAGGGCGUGCGCAGGUCUGCCGGCGGGAAGCCGUGGGUGCGGGAGGAGCCUAGGCUUCUUCAGUCCCCGGCCCGCCCUGCAGCGAGGAAGCCCGUAGGUGGCCGUGGCGCCCGGGCACCUAAGGCGCCCUCGCAUACUGGUGCGCCCCCUUCCCGCGCUCUCUCGGAGCACACCCCACCUUCCUGCUAUCUGUGCCUCCCCAGCCUCAGCCAAAAGGCUGAAGGACUGGGCCGCGCUUCGCUUCCCACACCUGUGUGCUGGCUGUCCGAGCGCUUUCCAGAAACUCUCCUCUGUGAUGCAAACCCCACAUUUUACAGGUGAAGGAGCCAAGACCCAGAGAGCUUCAGGAUCUGACCCUUGCCAAGCAGUGGUACAAAAAUACGAAUGAACAAGGGGGAAUGUGGCCCUAAAUGUUGUCAGCGACUGCAGACCCAGAAGAUGA